GCGGGAGGGCGCGGGAGGGCGCGGGAGGGCGCGGGAGGGCGCAGGCUCCGGGCCUCUCGCGCGACGCGCGCCCCCGCCGUGCUGCCGCUCCCGGCUCCCUCCGCGCCGUCCCGCGGGCACCCGCGGCUGCUGGGCCCGGCCGCCGAGCUCGUGCAGCCCGCCGAGCGCCUUAGCGGGUGGUGCCUGCCCGAGGCCGGGCCUGCGCUUGGCUAAGAUGCUAAGGUCCCGCCUCGCGUCGCUGGUGCCGGGAUUCGUUAGGUUAGGCCCGGGCUCCCAAGCCACCCAAGCGGCCUCUACCGUUCCAUCUGGUUAUCAAGACACACCACGGAGCGUCUGUACACUGCGGGGUGCUGGAGCCCAGCCCGCCCGGUCCCUGCCCGGGGCCGUGGCAUGUCACGUUGGUGAAGGGUUGGGGUCGGGGGCGCCUGAAACAGCCACUCACAGGUGCUGACGGCAGUUGCAGGCACAGGACCCCGAGGAGAGAGGGCCCCCCACCCCCCACCCCCCACCUCGGCUGGGGUUGGAUGCACUUCCCGGAGAGACAUGUGGAAACAUCCAGCAGAGGAUACAGAGGCAAGUCCAGCGGCUGAGAGGGGCAGCCUCUUUGCUUCUGAGCCAACUCACAGAGUGAGGACUCCCUCCUGUUGGCCCCCAGCUGCUCACCCAUCCCUGCUACUUAAGCAGCUUGGUCCAGACUGGUUUUGGAUGGAAAACCAGACCCAGAAUUGGAGUAAUCCAGGGGGAAAGUUUCUUGGCAGUUUUCUUUGUCCUGGGACCGUUGUCUCCUGCAAGAGGCACGACUGAAUGCUGAAGACCCAUCAGUAUGGGGAGGGGCCCCGUGCCCACCUCAGCCAGCCCCCCAGUGGGCCCAGCCCCCCGCGGAACGCAGCUGCAUGGAGCCUGGCCAACCCACAGGAUUGUGGAAAAUAAUAACUCCUCGCUUCUUCAGCCAUUCAGUUUGGGCAUAGCCCACCAUACAGCAAUAGAGAACCUACAAUGGGGCCCGUUCAGACAAGUUGUGAAACGUUUGCCCCUCUGCAGCCCUAGGGAAGUAUGGCGAAGAUCUCCCUGGCCUGGCAGGGGAAGGUGGCCACAAUCCCUCAUCAGGACGGAGCAACGGGCAAGACGAUCACCCACACCACUAGCCUGUGUGACCGUGGCCCUCGGGAGGUCGGCUGCAGUGUGAGAGCCCCCAUUUGAUGGUUGCGCAAACUGAGAUGCAGAGGGGAUAUCUUAGAGUUGAAGACAUGCAGGAUGCACCAAGCACAGAGAGCUGGAAAGAGUGCCCCAGGCGGUGCGCAUUCCCAGCACCUACUGUGCGUCACGCACCUCAGGACACCCGCUUCCUCCAUCUCCUGUUCACUCUGCAAGGGAAGUACUGGUGGCAACGGCUCCAUUUUACAGAUGAGCAAACUGAGACACAAGACGCUAGUUCAUAAAAUCACACGGAGAACUGACAGAAGCUCAGAAACCCACUCGCAUUUGACAGAGCAGCGCGGAGGCUUGUGAAUGUGGGAGAGCUGCGGCAGAGCUGAGGCUCCCUGCCCUCCGGCCACCCCAAGAUCUCCGCGGAGCCUGCGCUGUAAAGCUUUUGCUCGUGCUGAUUCCUCUGCUUGCAGUGCCUUUCCUGGUGAAGGAGGAAGGGAGAAAGAGGCCACGCGCUGGCUGGACCAGGCCCAGCGAGGAAUUCCCCCUCUGACCUACAGUUCCGAACCCCUUGCCAUAGGCUAGAAUCCCAGCUUCAUCUCAGGGGCAGCUGGUCUGUGGGCCAUCCCUAAUCUGAUGCUGAUGGAAAGAAUAUUCCCAGGGAAUAUGGCUCCUUCCCCUUCCCAUUUCCUCUACUCAACAUCGUGCACUUAUCCUCUUAAAGGAGGUCGGCUUCCUGUUGUAUAUUCUACUUGAAAGUAAGGCAGAUGGGGCCUGUCACUCGUGGCAGGUUUCCUGCAGGUGGGGACUUUUGAUCCAGUCCGAACAGUGGUAAAAUUCAUAAGCCCAGACGACGUAGAAUUGGGGCUCACAAAUGUUCACUUUACACAGAGCACCUCCGACAUGCCAGUGCUGGUGGUAGAGCCGUGAACGACAGACACAAAGUCCUGCCCUCGUUGCGCCCCGGGCACUUCGUCUUUUAAAUUGUUAUUGAGGUUGACAGGAAGCCAUCAAAAUGCUGGAGGAGAAAGCAGGCAAAAACCUGCUUGUAGCAGGUUUUGAUCUUGCCCGAAGCAAUUUCUUACUCAACAGGUCUCCGGAGGCAAGGGAAACAAAAGCAAAAAUGAACUCCUGGGACCUCAUCAAAAUAAAAAGCUUCUGCACAGCGAAGGAAACAAUCAGCAAAACUAAAAGGCA